rnacentral:rRNA from 1 species
CCUUAGAGUUUGAUCAUGGCUCAGGAUGAACGCUGGCGGCGUGCCUAACACAUGCAAGUCGAACGGACGAAAGGAACUUGCUCCUGAAGUUAGUGGCGGACGGGUGAGUAACACGUGGAUAACCUGCCUUUACCAAAGGGAUAACAACCAGAAAUGGUUGCUAAAACCUUAUAAGCUCACGCCUCGGCAUCGGGGAGGGAGAAAAUAUUUAUAGGGUAAAGAGGGGUCCGCGUCUGAUUAGCUAGUUGGCGGGGUAAUGGCCCACCAAGGCGACGAUCAGUAGCCGGCCUGAGAGGGCGAACGGCCACAUUGGGACUGAGACACGGCCCAAACUCCUACGGGAGGCAGCAGUGGGGAAUAUUGCGCAAUGGGGGAAACCCUGACGCAGCAACGCCGCGUGAAGGAUGACGGUUUUCGGAUUGUAAACUUCUAUCGAUGGGGAAGAAUAAAUGACGGUACCCAGGUAAGAAGCACCGGCUAAAUACGUGCCAGCAGCCGCGGUAAUACGUAUGGUGCAAGCGUUAUCCGGAAUUACUGGGCGUAACAGGGUGCGUAGGCGGUCUUAUAAGUCACAUGUGAAAUUCCAUGGCUCAACCGUGGAAACG